UACGUAGGGUGCAAGCGUUGUCCGGAAUUAUUGGGCGUAAAGAGCGCGCAGGCGGUAUGACAAGUCAGAUGUGAAAGAGGCCGGCUUAACCGGCAAGGGUCAUUUGAAACUGUCAGACUAGAGUGCAGCAGAGGAUAGUGGAAUUCCCGGUGUAGUGGUGAAAUGCGUAGAUAUCGGGAGGAACACCAGUGGCGAAGGCGACUAUCUGGGCUGCAACUGACGCUGAGGCGCGAAGGCUAGGGUAGCAAACAGG
rnacentral:rRNA from 1 species